ACGGUUGACCUCGGAUCAGGUAGGGAUACCC
rnacentral:rRNA from 1 species